CGCGGCCUAUCAGCUUGUUGGUGAGGUAAUGGCUCACCAAGGCGACGACGGGUAGCCGGCCUGAGGGGGCGACCGGCCACACUGGGACUGAGACACGGCCCAGACUCCUACGGGAGGCAGCAGUGGGGAAUAUUGCACAAUGGGCGAAAGCCUGAUGCAGCGACGCCGCGUGAGGGAUGACGGCCUUCGGGUUGUAAACCUCUUUCGCGAUCGACGAAGCUCCGGUUGUUGCCGGGGUGACGGUAGGUCGAGAAGAAGCACCGGCCAACUACGUGCCAGCAGCCGCGGUAAUACGUAGGGUGCGAGCGUUGUCCGGAAUUAUUGGGCGUAAAGAGCUCGUAGGCGGUGUGUCGCGUCGGCCGUGAAAACCUGGGGCUUAACUCUGGGCGUGCGGUCGAUACGGGCAUCACUAGAGUUCGGCAGGGGAGACUGGAAUUCCUGGUGUAGCGGUGAAAUGCGCAGAUAUCAGGAGGAACACCAGUGGCGAAGGCGGGUCUCUGGGCCGAUACUGACGCUGAGGAGCGAAAGCAUGGGUAGCGAACAGGAUUAGAUACCCUGGUAGUCCAUGCCGUAAACGUUGGGCGCUAGGUGUGGGGUCCAUUCCACGGGUUCCGUGCCGCAGCUAACGCAUUAAGCGCCCCGCC
rnacentral:rRNA from 1 species